AACGAACGCUGGCGGCAUGCCUAACACAUGCAAGUCGAACGAGACCUUCGGGUCUAGUGGCGCACGGGUGCGUAACGCGUGGGAAUCUGCCCUUGGGUUCGGAAUAACAGCGAGAAAUUGCUGCUAAUACCGGAUGAUGACGUAAGUCCAAAGAUUUAUCGCCCAAGGAUGAGCCCGCGUAGGAUUAGCUAGUUGGUGAGGUAAAGGCUCACCAUGGCGACGAUCCUUAGCUGGUCUGAGAGGAUGAUCAGCCACACUGGGACUGAGACACGGCCCAGACUCCUACGGGAGGCGAGCAGUGGGGAAUAUUGGACAAUGGGCGAAAGCCUGAUCCAGCAAUGCCGCGUGAGUGA
rnacentral:rRNA from 1 species